rnacentral:rRNA from 2 species
AAUUAAAAGAUGGCUUCGGCUAUCACUUACAGAUGGGCCCGCGGCGCAUUAGCUAGUUGGUGAGGUAAGGGCUCACCAAGGCGACGAUGCGUAGCCGACCUGAGAGGGUGAUCGGCCACACUGGGACUGAGACACGGCCCAGACUCAUACGGGAGGCAGCAGUAGGGAAUCUUCGGCAAUGGGCGAAAGCCUGACCGAGCAACGCCGCGUGAGCGAUGAAGGCCUUCGGGUCGUAAAGCUCUGUUGUUAGGGAAGAACAAGUACCGUUCAAAUAGGGCGGUACCUUGACGGUACCUAACCAGAAAGCCACGGCUAACUACGUGCCAGCAGCCGCGGUAAUACGUAGGUGGCAAGCGUUGUCCGGAAUUAUUGGGCGUAAAGCGCGCGCAGGCGGUCUCUUAAGUCUGAUGUGAAAGCCCACGGCUCAACCGUGGAGGGUCAUUGGAAACUGGGGGACUUGAGUACUGGAGAGGAGAGUGGAAUUCCAUGUGUAGCGGUGAAAUGCGUAGAUAUAUGGAGGAACACCAGUGGCGAAGGCGGCUCUCUGGCCAGUAACUGACGCUGAGGCGCGAAAGCGUGGGGAGCAAACAGGAUUAGAUACCCUGGUAGUCCACGCCGUAAACGAUGAGUGCUAGGUGUUGGGGGGUUCCACCCUCAGUGCUGACGUUAACACAUUAAGCACUCCGCCUGGGGAGUACGGCCGCAAGGCUGAAACUCAAAGGAAUUGACGGGGGCCCGCACAAGCAGUGGAGCAUGUGGUUUAAUUCGAAGCAACGCGAAGAACCUUACCAGGUCUUGACAUCCUUCGCUACUUCUA